ACGGCGAGUGAAGCGGCAACAGCUCAAAUUUGAAAUCUGGUCCCCAGGGCCCGAGUUGUAAUUUGCAGAGGAUGCUUUUGGUGAGGUGCCUUCCGAGUUCCCUGGAACGGGACGCCAUAGAGGGUGAGAGCCCCGUCUGGUUGGAUACCGAGCCUCUGUAAAGCUCCUUCGACGAGUCGAGUAGUUUGGGAAUGCUGCUCUAAAUGGGAGGUAUAUGUCUUCUAAAGCUAAAUAUUGGCCAGAGACCGAUAGCGCACAAGUAGAGUGAUCGAAAGAUGAAAAGCACUUUGAAAAGAGGGUUAAAUAGUACGUGAAAUUGUUGAAAGGGAAGCACUUAUGACCAGACUUGGCCCCGGUGAAUCAUCCAGCGGUUCCCGCUGGUGCACUUUGCCGGGGUUCAGGCCAGCAUCAGUUCGCUCCGGGGGAUAAAGGCUUUGGGAAUGUGGCUCCCUCGGGAGUGUUAUAGCCCAUUGCGUAAUACCUUGUGGCGGGCUGAGGUUCGCGCUUUAUGCAAGGAUGCUGGCAUAAUGGUCAUCAGUGACCCGUCUUGAAACACGGACCAAGGAGUCGUCUUCGUAUGCGAGUGUUCGGGUGUCAAACCCCUACGCGUAAUGAAAGUGAACGCAGGUGAGAGCCCUCCAGGGCGCAUCAUCGACCGAUCCUGAUGUUCUCGGAUGGAUUUGAGUAAGAGCAUACGGGGCCGGACCCGAAAGAAGGUGAACUAUGCCUGUAUAGGGUGAAGCCAGAGGAAACUCUGGUGGAGGCUCGCAGCGGUUCUGACGUGCAAAUCGAUCGUCAAAUAUGGGCAUGGGGGCGAAAGACUAAUCGAACCUUCUAGUAGCUGG
rnacentral:rRNA from 1 species